CUUUUUUGUGUUUCCUUAUGUGAACUUGUUGCUGGAUUUAUCUUUCCCUAAAAAAUACAUAGUUUGCUUCUUUUUGAGUUUGGACCCCAGCUGUACUACUGGAAUUAUCCUCUUGGUGGAAAUCAUGCUUUAAAAUGUCACCCACAUCCUUACCAAAUUAAUUUUUAUCUAAAUAUUGUUGCUUGGUUGUAGCUGAUUGCAGUGAUUAAUCCCCUCAUUGUUAAUGGACAAAUCAAUAGGAACUACCCUGUUCAAUGGAUGUUUUAUCAUGCCUCUGUUAGAUCUUUCCAGCCCAAAAUAUGCGUCCAUAUUUAUGCCUAAUAGUGUUUCCUAUAUGUAGCAAAGUAAUCACUUCUUGAUUGCACCUUCCAAAUUAAACUGUGAAAUGAAAAGCAGUGGAGUUAUCUUUUCAAAUUGGGUAUCUGCUCUUUUCCUAAUAUGAGAUGAUAAAAUGGAUCCCUUUGUAAUCUAAGGAUUAUAUUAAAUUAAUCUCAGAAAAAAUAAAAUCUCAGAUUUUAUUUUACAAAAUGUCAGUUAUUAACACUCCAUCCUGAACACCUCACAGUGCAUACAAAUGGAUGUAUCUGGCAUCCUGAUAAAAAGUGCAAGGGUCCUGAGAAAUAAUGAAAGUCAAUGGCAUUUUUUCACUACCUGAAGGCAGGUAGAUGACACAGGUUAUUCCUCUAAAUGGCAGGUUCUUCCAAAGCUGUUUUUUCAUCCAUCUCUGGCAUAAACCUCUGACACAACUCAUACAGUUUCCCUGGCCCCAUAAAGCAAAUGAAUGAGUCAGUUGUGCUUCAAGUAAUUCAAGUUGUGCAUUUUACAAUGCUUUAUCACUGUGUGCAUAGCUUGGCUGUGAAUUGCUUAUUUCAAACAAGUCAUGAAAUAAAGUGGCUGUACUGACAGAGCUCAGUGCCAGAGCUUACUUUGCCUCUUUGCCUCAGAGACAUGUGUUUGAGUGAGCAAUAUACAGCACAUUUCCCAAACCUGAACCUCUUUUAGUGCAUAUGUACUGGUUGAUAUUCAAGGAUCACCUCCUCCAAGCUCAGGAAUGAUGCAUCCCAACAAAGGGAAAGUCAGGAAAAAUGCCAGGAUGACAGCAUGGAUGAACAAGGAGCUCCUAGCUAAACACAAACAGGAAAAGAAGGUCUACAUAGGGUGGAAGCAAGGACAGGUAGCCUGAGAGCAAUGAAGAGAAAUUGUCAGAGCAGCCAGAGAUCAGGUUAGGAAAGGCAAAGCCCUGAUAGAAAUGAAUUCGGCCAGGGACGUCAUGGGCAACCAGAAAAGGUUCUGUAAGUACAUCAGUGAUAAAAGACCAGGAAAAUUGUGGGCACUCCCUGGGCCCUGGUAACAGGAGACCUGGUUACCCAGGGUAUGAAGAAGGUUGAAGGAUUCAGUGACUUUUUUUGCCUCAGUCUUCACUUGUAAGAGCUCCAGACACAUAGCCCAGGCCCCAGAAGGCUAAGAUGGGGACUGGAAGAAUGAAGAACUGCACACUGUAGGAGAAGGUCAGGUUCAAGACCAUCAAAGCAACCUGAAGGUACAUAAGUCCAUGGGACCUGAUGUAAUGCAUCCACAGGUCCUGAGGGAAUUCAUAGAUAAAGCUUCUAAGUCACUGUCCCUUAUAUCUGAGAAGUUGUGGCAGUCCAGUGAAGUUCCCACUGACUAUAAAUACUUGUUUGAAAUAAGCAAUUCACAGCCAAUCCAUCCCUUGAACACCUCCAUCCCUGGAGGUGUUCAAGGCCAGGUUGGAUGGGGCUUUGGACAGACUGAUCUGGUAGGAGGUGUCCCUGCCCAUGGCAGGGGGGUUGGAAAUAGAUGGUCUUUCAGGUCCCUUCCAACCCAAACCAAUCUAUGAUUCUAUGUGUAACCACCUGAGACAGCAGCAUUUCAAACCCCACCAGAAUGGGGCAGUGAAAGACACCUGCAACUACUGCCUCAAAUAUUUGUAUACAGCCCAAUGUCCUGGAAUUACUGGCACUUGAACUACUGCCAGCAAUUAGAGGUAGUUAGCAGUCCCCUGGCCAGUGUGAUACUUGAAGCCAGUAAUUGCUGCAGGUUUUUAGUGCUGCUGCACUACAGGAACAGAGCUGUUGGCUGCAGAGAAGCUGAGUGUGUAGCUAGAGUUUGUGCCUGAUCUGCUGGCUCACUGCUGCUGAAAGGAGCAAUCUCAUUUCUCUGACCCAUGCCCCCUGCUUUUGCUAUCCCUACUCUCAGCCACACUGUCCUGCUCUUUCCAUUCUAGCCCUCAUCAGUUCUUACAGAGAGCUGUUUCAAAUACCCAGCCUGGAGGAAAACUAUGCAUUUGCUUUUGCCCCGUUACUCUAGUUUCCUCUUAAAAUAAUGAAUGAAAUCAGCCUGCAGUGAGGUCUAGUAUAAAAACAGUAGUAGGAGCUUGCAAUCAGGAGCAGAAGAGGUGCGAAAAGAGUGCACUGGGACUCCACUUUGGUGACAGCAAACUGUUAGAUCAGCUUAUCUGGCACAUCUCUACCUGGAGAAAAAAUACAAAAUUAAAAAAAAAAAAAAAAAAAAAAAAAAAAAAGAUUGACAGUAUCUAUCUCCUUGUCUUGGUUAGUGGUAUCAUACUCAGAAAUCAAGCUGGAGAAUAUUUUGUUAUCCCCUGCUGCAAGGAUAGGUUGAAUAUAAUGCUUUGCAAGAAUAAUUGUUUGUUUUGGAAAAGAGUGAGUAGAAACAAUAUUUCAUCUGUUGUCCCUGGUGAACUGUUUAGUCCUGCUUUGCAGCAACUUGUGAAUUAAGUAUCACUUUCAGAAACAACUGGGUCAUCUUUGGUCACUCUCCCCCAAAAUGACAUAUUGUCUGGUUAUAAGCUUGCUUGUGGUUGCUAAUUUUCUUCAGCUUCUAAUUGGAACAGUCACUUAAUUGGUGGGAUUUUGUCCUCAUCAACACACACUGAUUGAAAUGGGUCUGUUCCUGUACAGUAGUCAGCUGGAUUUGUGUUAAUUAAACUCCCCUAAUGAUAUGGUUUACUAAGUAUUUCAUGAGAUUGGCUACUGUUCUUUCUAAUUUAUGCACAGUUCAGUAAGAAAUAUUUAGCUCUGCAACUUACUGUCAAUGGAUUUUCCUCUGAAAAUCUGGCUUUAUCUGUAGGAAGAAUCCAUAUGUGUGUAGCAUGUAAAAAGUGAAAAUGGUGAAAUUAAUAUUUCAAGCAGGCUGGAUACUCUACAUGUGCUUUCAGAUACCUAUCAGAGGGGGGUAAACCUGCAUGAGUUCCCUUGUAAGAGAUGAAUGAAGAGGAGACACAGAGACACAGAGGUGGAAAUGUCCAUGCAUCUGUAGCAGAUGUUGUGACUCCAUUUUUAGGAGGGAAGAAGUCAGAGGAGCUGAACAUGGAGCCCCUGUACAAUGGGCAGGUGUCCUGGUGGUUGUGCAAGCAUCUCCUCCCCCAGACCAGUAUUUCAGUUGGGACGGUCAGCUCUGCUUGCCUGAAGAUAUCUCCAGGAGAAGAGAGAUGUUGAUGGUCUGCUGCAAAUAUAGGAGUUGCAGAUAUUGCAGUGUUGCUUAAGCUGGGACCAAAUUAGUGUUUCUCACUCAUGCAACUUGACCAGUGUGUUAAAAGUCCUCCUCUGGGUGUCACAUACAGCCUCCUUUCCUGGAGUACCAAUUUCAUUUCAUCCUACCCUCAGGCUGCAACAGCAUCCCAAAUUUUCAAGUGCUCUGCAUCCUAAUGCUGUGUGGCAAACUGAUACAUUUCCAUUCCUGAACUUAAUAAAAUCAGCAGUUGUCAUGGUUUACUAGCAAAACUUUAGUGCUAACUCAGAAUCAUGGCAAAGCGCCCAAAUAGCCUACGCUCUGCAUUCUGUACAGUCUCAGAGUAGUUAUCAGUAAUUGCAUCUCCACCCCCUCCCUAUUACAUAUACUCCGUGUACCAUCCAAUUCGUCACAUUUAUUAUUCAGGACACUUUUUGUUGGAGUUUAUCGCAGCUAACUUACCAAUAAAAAGGGACAGUCGAUGGUUUUAAAAUACAGCGUUCUCUCUCGGUUAUGUUAUCUUUAUGCAAGCACACUUUGCAUUUUUAGAAAUUCUUUGCAACUUCUGCAUUCUAUGGAGGCCUACAAAAGGUGAUCUGGUGUCAUAUGGUUAUAUUAGUAGUCUGAUCCCAUUCCCAAAUACGUCUUGGAUAGAGAACAUUCAACUUCAUAUGUACCUGAGCUCUUGUUAUGUGACAGGAAAA